AUGACAACACUGGGUUCGCCCAGCACGUCAGACGAUAGUGCGGAUGAUUAAGACGACGCCAGAUUGCCAAUCCCCUCGCCGUCGAGGGAUUGGUCACAAAUACCACUACACCAGCACUCGGUGUUCCGAGAGGCUGGCAACCAAAAUGCACGGUAUCGAUUUUAAAACCCUCACCCCAGCUGCAAAGCCAAGGUGAGGGACCCAGAUAUUCAAGUACGCAUGUCGCACCGGCUCCAUUGCCUGGUGGCUAUAGCGUCGGUGUCCCACCCGAUCCCAUUCCGAACUCGGCCGUGAAACCCGACUGCGCCAAUGGUACUAUCGCUCAAGCGAUGGAAGAGUAGGUCGUCGCCAGGC
rnacentral:rRNA from 1 species